AUUGAACGCUGGCGGCAUGCCUUACACAUGCAAGUCGAACGGCAGCACGGGGGCAACCCUGGUGGCGAGUGGCGAACGGGUGAGUAAAGCAUCGGCACGUAUCCGGGAGUGGGGGAUAACGUAGCGAAAGUUACGCUAAUACCGCAUAUUCUCUGAGGAGGAAAGAGGGGGAUCGCAAGACCUCUCGCUUUCGGAGCGGCCGAGGUAGGAUUAGCUAGUUGGUGAGGUAAAGGCUCACCAAGGCGACGAUCCGUAGCGGGUCUGAGAGGAUGAUCCGCCACACUGGGACUGAGACACGGCCCAGACUCCUACGGGAGGCAGCAGUGGGGAAUUUUGGACAAUGGGGGCAACCCUGAUCCAGCCAUGCCGCGUGAGUGAAGAAGGCCUUCGGGUUGUAAAGCUCUUUCGGCGGGGAAGAAAUCGCUUGGACUAAUACUCUGAGUGGAUGACGGUACCCGAAUAAGAAGCACCGGCUAACUACGUGCCAGCCGCCGCCGUAACAC
rnacentral:rRNA from 1 species